GGCCGCCCACCGCCGGGUUAGCGCUGCUGGAUCCGCAGCGGCGCUUCCGCGAUUUGGUUUGAAGCGAGGCUACAAAAUUCUAGCUUGUGAGUAAACUGUACAUUGACUAUUCUUGGGUUAUGUGAUCACUCAUGGUCCAACCAACGGUGGAAAGUUUGGAAAACUGUCAAGCAAAUGCACUUCCUGAAAUUGCUAGCAGGGCUUAUUAUGUACAGAGAGCAACAUCUAAACUAGCUGGAAGCACCACUUUGCACACCAGAGAGAGACCACCUCCACACUGCCCUUCCUUUUUUAAGGAAGAACCAACUUUAUGAACAAUUAAGAGUGAGUGAUAAAGACCCCCAAAGCCUAUCUGCCUCGGAGGAUCUUUAUAUCCUUAUCAUGGAAAAAGCAGAAAGAAUGUUUCUGGCUGCAGCACCCAGCAAUCGGAGCUGGAACAAGGGACAGACUAGACUAGGCCAGGCUGUGCAAUAAGACUGCAGACACUGAGGUGAGGAACGACAAGGAGAAAUAGCAAAUUUGGAAGCAAAGAAUUCACCCAAUUUUCCCUAAACCUCAAUCCUUCCCACCCUGAUCAACCAUGUAAUUGUUAUUUUAAAAAAUAAAAUUUGUCAAAAAAAA